rnacentral:misc_RNA from 1 species
AAAAGCCGACCACCUCAGUCU